UACGUAGGGGGCGAGCGUUGUCCGGAAUCAUUGGGCGUAAAGCGCGUGUAGGCGGCCCGGUAAGUCCGCUGUGAAAGUCCAGGGCUCAACCCUGGGAUGCCGGUGGAUACUGUCGGGCUCGAGUCCGGGAGAGGGAUGUGGAAUUCCAGGUGUAGCGGUGAAAUGCGUAGAUAUCUGGAGGAACACCGGUGGCGAAGGCGACAUCCUGGACCGGCAUUGACGCUGAGGCGCGAAAGCCAGGGGAGCAAACGGG
rnacentral:rRNA from 1 species